UCUUCCGCAAUGGGCGAAAGCCUGACGGAGCAACGCCGCGUGAUCGAAUGAAGGCCUUCGGGUUGUAAAGAUCUGUUGACAGGGACGAAUAAGCAAUGCGAAUAGUUUUGUGUAUGACGGUACCUGUUUAGAAAGCUCCGGCUAACUACGUGCCAGCAGCCGCGGUAAUACGUAGGGAGCAAGCGUUGUCCGGAAUUACUGGGCGUAAAGGGCGCGUAGGUGGGCGCUUAAGUCAGGUGUGAAAACUCCGGGCUCAACCUGGAGACUGCACUUGAAACUGGGUGUCUUGAGGGCUGGAGAGGCAAGCGGAAUUCCUAGUGUAGCGGUGAAAUGCGUAGAUAUUAGGAGGAGCACCAGUGGCGAAGGCGGCUUGCUGGACAGUAACUGACGUUGAGGCUCGAAAGCGUGGGGAGCAAACAGG
rnacentral:rRNA from 1 species